UUAACCAAAGGUUAUUAGGCCCAGCUCCACAGUUUCUGAUUCUAGAGGUCAGCAGAGGGGCUCAGUAAUUUGCAUUUUUAACAAGUUGCAAGUGAGCUGGCAAUGCCAGAGCUUCAAGGAAAGGUGGCUCCUGGGGAGAGAGUUUCCUGAAUGAUGUUUUCGCUGGUUGGAGAAGGAAAAAAAAUCAGGCUUCUCUUCCCCAAGUGGGAGACCUGAGUAACACGGAAGCUCUCUCCCCUACUGCAGGGGGUAAAGAUACAGAAGGGCUAGUGAAUCUAAAUUCAAGUGAUUAGUAUUAGAAUAAUUUAAGUGAUAAGAUUAAUUUCUGGUUUCCAAGUUUUUAGCAAGUGUUUUUCCAAACUUAAGGUGAAUCAAAAUGGUAGCUUGUUGUUGUCAAAUGUUGGUAGAUGCUUGUUAAAAAUGCAGACACUUAGGCCUCAUCUUUGCAACUUCUACUAAGGAAAUCUCUGCUGAAGCUUUCCCAGAAAUAAGCGGUCCAGGAUAACAAAUGUCUGUGUUCCAGGUCACCUUCUUAGGCAGCAAUGCCUUGAUCCCUUUCAGGCAGUGUCAGGUACCCCCACUUCUGUACAGCAAAGACAUAAAUUCAUGUAGAAGGACAUGGGCAUAAAUCCCUGUGUUGAUUAAUUAUUUUGGGAGCCUGGAAUCACCUUGAAUUAAUUCAACAGCACGGAAUCUGAGGAGCUGAAUGAGAUGGUGGCGUCAGCAGAGACUCUUUAAGAUCCUAAAGGCUGGCACACUCGGAUCACAGUGCACUUUGAAUUCAGCAAUAGUUGAUCAAGACUUUCUUAUACUGCAUCAGUCUGACACUUUCACUCUACUGCCUUCCUCAUUUACUUAUAAAAACCCUUCUGAUAACUUUGGGCCUUCUUGGAUAAUCCAAGAUUAUCUCUCUAUGUAUCUCAAGCUCAUCUCAAGAUUUCAUCUGCUCUGCUUUUGCAUUUUGAAAAAUGUUUCACAUUUGACUGGAAAUAUAUUGUUUUGCUGGAUAAAUAAUUCUAGAUUGACAUUUACAUUUGUCCUUUAAAGAUGUUUCUCCACUGUUUUCAAGAUUAGAUUGUUUCUGGUGAGAAGACAUCUCUCAUUCUUACCUUUGUUCUUCUGUACACAUGUCUUUUUCUGUCAAUGUAAGAUUGUUCUUUUAUCAUUGGUUUUAUGAUGUGUUUUGGUAUAGUUUCUUUUUCCAUAUUUCUUUUGCUUGAGUUUUGUUGAGUAUUUUGAAUCUGUGGGUUUAUUAUUUUCACCAAAUUUGGGGGAUAUAUUUGAGAUUUUUUUUUCUGUGGAUACAUUUUUUUCUCUGUCUUGUCUCUUUAAGGAUUUCCUUUCACAUGUAGAUUAGAUCUCAUAGAACUGAUUCUCUUUUCAAUUUUUCAUUCUUUUUGUUUCUGGGUUUUGUUUUAUGUAUGUUUUAUUCAUGUAUUUUCAAGUUCUCUAGUAUUUCUUCUGCAACAUCGUAUUGGCUUUCAAUCCUGUCUACUGUAUUUUUUCAUUUUAGAUGUCAUAGAUAGUUGGUGGAUUUGGAUGUGUGUAUCUGUGUUUGUGAUUUGUGGAUUAUCAUGUAGCUGAGUUCCUGUUUUGCCUGGAUUCACACGGAUGAAAUUGCACACAAGCAAUCAUGAAAUUUUUGUUGAUGCUCAAAUCAUUUUCUUAAUCAGUUGAUUAAGAUUACUGUUUUCUUUAUAUUAAAACCAACUGUAUGUGGUAUUAUUUUGUGGGUACUCUUGAAAAACAUGUGGCAUUCUAAAUGUGCCCCCCCAAAAGCUUAACACCCAAAUCAAUGUGUAUAUUACCAGUUUUUCUUCAAAGUUUCAAGAUCAUCAUGAAAAUAAAUUAUAGUUUUCACCACUA